rnacentral:lncRNA from 1 species
UGCAUGGAGAUUAACAAGGAUGACAUGACCAAAGCUAAUUUCAUUGUGAGAAUGCUAAACAAAUUCCAUAUGCUAUCCUAUUCCACUGAGCAAUGGUUCAACUAAUUCCUACCCCCAGACAAGGGAUGGGCCAAUUUUCUUUGGGGGAAAAGGGCAUCGACGAAUCAGUUUUGGCCACUUCACACAUUUGAUAAGAAAAGUUAUAGAAAAUUUUAGAGAGUGCAAAUGGGGAAGAGUUCCAGCUACUACUCACAAAGCCUAAUCCUCCGAAUCUGUUGAGGGGUUGACCGGCAGUGUAAUUCUUGCAGAACUGACUAGUGAGAAUUUUUGCAUGAGGAAGGCCAAGAACGGCAGCUGAGAUGUUCCCACUCUGGAAUUCGCCAUGAUAUUGGUUUUGGUUGCAAAUAUUCUUGAUAUGAGCUCCUUCGAAAUUAAACACGUUCUCUAAGUAUUGCCUCACAAAUGAAGCACCAUUACAACCAACCACAGACCUAGUAGCUUUUAGCCAUUCGAUAUCCAUCACAUUGGAAUCAAGUCGUUGGACAGUGAGCAUGGAAGAGAGACUAGCAGUGUAGCUCGAGGUUAAAACGAAGACUACAAACAGCCACACCACUAUCACUACUCGAGUAAUAUUGCUACGAAUUGUCUCCCCUGGGAAAUGAAACAACAGCUAGCUUUCUGAGUAAUUUAAUUAUUGAGCAAACCAAAAUCUCUUCCAUUUUUAAUACUAAUACUAAUACUUACUAUGAGCAAAGAAAAGAGAAGAGAAGGUGAACCAAAGAGCAGUCCCAAGCUGACUCCUCCAUGGGCCUCUGAAUGCCGGAUUAUUGGAUUGGUACUCCAGUACCCAAACUAUGAACAUGGUGUAGAUCAAGAGGGCACCUGUGACUACCCACGUUUCCCAGGUGAAAGUCUUCAGGAACAUCCAUGCCUUGUGAGGUUCUUCAGACGUUACUUGUACUAUCACCAAUCCCGACUCAGCAUAUGGCACUGUGAAUUCCACUUUUUUUGAACGGGUGGCAAGUAUUGUCACAUCCCCAACCACAGCAUCAUAGGUCUUCCAUGUAUUUGAUUCACAAGAGAUAUGCACAAAAUUUCUAUCAGAAACAAAUGAUUGAAACAAAUACAAAGUAUGAUUCAUGAAUUCUGAGAGUUAAUCUUCAGUACUAUGUUCACUGCUCUUUCAUGGGGAUGAAGUCAAAACCUAAUAUACCAGAAAAGUCUACUGAACAGUCCUCUUCAAAACCUAAUAUACCAGAAAAGUCUACUGAGCAGUUCUUUGGAAGGCAUAAAAAUUGAGAAGUUUCAAGGGUUUGAAAAACCUAAUUAGGGAAAUAUAUAUUUCCACAUAAAACUUCCUUAAAUUCUUGCGCUCUUGCUGUAGUAAAGCAGGCAAAUAUUAACUAGGAGAGAAAUGAGGUUCAGUCUGACUUUGAUUUUCAUUUAAACCAACCACAUGUUAAUUGGGUCAGUAAGCUAGACAAGCUUUUUUUGAGUCAUUAGAAAAGGAAGAAGGUUUACUGAUGAAAUCACAACAUAAAUCAUGGACGCAAAUGUGAAGUUGAGAUUUAAUUCCAGUGUGGGGAAUAUCAGGAUUAUUGAGAACGAUUUAAAGAGCAAAAGCUAGGGAUGGGAGUAAUUACCUUGUUGUAAACACAAUCAACCAGCUCAUCGUAUGUGCCAACAACUGGAUGGAACUCGUAGGGUAGAGAGUAAUUUUGCUCCAAAAUUUUUAACACCUCGUGGAAAAUAUCAAUACAGAAACCAGUAUAUUUUUUUUCAGGCUCGAUUUGAUCUACGUCCACCUUCACAUAAUUUUUAAAAGUGGUGUUAGCUGGAAUUCCAAUCUUCAAUGGUUUUGCAACAGUGGGCAUUUCCCAUCCCUUGGGGACACGUUUUAGGUACCCUGGCCAAAUCACUGGACCAUCCAAAACCUUCGUGGUGUUUCUACCGCAAUUUUUGUCUCCACCUUCUCUGUUGAGAGGGUUGUCCAAGUCCUGCGUCCAACAGUCAAGCUCCUUGUAGUUCGUUCUAACAACGUUUAUAAUCCUGAACGGCAACGAAUUUGAAUUUGAUAGAUCACCCCCUUCAAAAAUAAUAUUGCCACUUAAACCACUGAAGUUGCUUGAUAAUAUAUUUUUUAACAACAUUUUUGGAGUAUUAGUAUCAUCACUAGCUAAUCUCUCUAGGGCCCGUGUGAUGACAGCAAUGCUAUCAUAUGCUCGUAGUGCAUGAAUUCCUGGCUGGGCGUUGUCUUCCUCUGGGUAUUCAGAUUUAAAAUUUUUCUGAAACUGGGCAGAGAAUUCUUGGAAGGGCCUAUUGGAUUUGGAUUGGGAAUAGUAGGACUUGAUUCCUAGAGCCCCUUCCAUAUAGGAGAUAACGGAGGUGUCCAUGGAAUCCAGGAAGCUUGAAAUGCUAUCUGUAAUUAUCCAGGCUGAGUCUUUCCCCAUAAAAUCCAUCCGCCUUGCUUCUUGGAACAAUUGGGUAGCCAUUGGUAAAGACGAUUGAAGAACAAUGAAAACCCUGGAUUGUGUGCUCAGAAGCUUCAAGAGCUCUUGAUGGACAGCUCCUCUUGGAUCAGAUAGAGAUGAUAUGGGAGGAAGAGGCAAAUGGUACUCAAUCUCCGAGCCAACUCUUUGAAGAGCUUCAGAUAAAAUAGUUAACAUCUCAGCGUUCCCACCGUACGCAUCAUCUUCAUAGAUUGCGAUGACUCUUCGCCAGUGAUAGGAGUGAACGAUAGCUGCAAUGCACCUUAUUUGUUCAGAAACAUUGGUGCCCAUUUGUAUCAGGGUGGACCUUCCAAGCUGCCUCGAUGGCCGGACACUCGCGGCUGCCGCCAAUGAAAGAACUGGUACUUGAGCUUGGUUUCCGAUUUCAGCAGCUAAAGCUGCUUGCUGCCAUGUAUCCAUGCCCACAAUCACUUGCACUUUCUUCUCUUUAAUCAGUUCUUCAGCUGUAAUUAAAUGUUAUGAGCCCCAUCAAUUGUAUUCCAUUUUUGUUCUGCCUAUUUCAUUCAUAUUCAGUACAUAACAGUGUUUUUCAAUACAUGGAAGCAAUAAAAAUCCAUUUCCACCUAUUUCAAUUUCUUUUCUUUUUCUAAAUGAUGAGUGAUGCUUAAAACAAGUUUUUCAAGUUAUCCUAAAUUUAUUUUUUAGAGGAAAACUUAAGAAUGAAAAAAAAAAAGGAAAAGAAAAAGGAAAAACAUUAGAAUUUAAUAUUUUUUUAUUUUACUAUGAUUGCGAAAUGACCAAUAUAAAGACAUCCAUCUCUCUAUAUCUUCCUACUUUUAUUUUUUAAAAUUUAAAAAAAAAUUAAUAUAAAAAAUAAAAAUAAUUAUUUUUACUUCUCUAUAUCCAUUCAAAGUUUAACCCUAAUUCUUCCUUUGUCCUUUCCUCUGCCUCGUCCCUUCUUUUCCUUCCUAAUGGGUCAUGAAUGAUACAAAGGAAGAGAAUAAAAGGGAAACAAAAUUGAGGUGGGUGUUAAAGAAGAUGAGGAUAAUUUUAUCCUUUCAUAUUUAAUUUUUAAUUUAAAAUAAAUAAAUAAAAUAAAAAAUAGAAGAUAUAUAAGUGACGUAGAGAUAGUUUGGGUGGCUGAUGUUAUAACCACUCGUGUAUCAUUCUAGAGGAUUAAUGUUGAAAAUAAUAGGAGAUUAGACAGCCGUAGAAGGAAUCAAGGAAGAGAUGACCAACCUGUUAAGGCUGCCCCAUAGAGUUCUCCGGUGAAGUUCCGGGAGAUAAGAGAGAGCUUAUGAUUCUUGGAAUUGUUAUUGAACUUAUCCACAGCUAUCUUGAUGGCGGUUAUUUCCUCUUUACCUUUACGAGAAUUAGCAUCAAUGAUUGCCCCAAUGAUGGUGGAGUUGUCAUCUACUGCUGUGCCGGUGAUGUAUCCAAGAUGGCAGACAAUUAAAAGAAUGGAGGUAAGUGAAAAGUAGAUGAAACAUGGUGUUGGAGAAUUCAGUGGGGAGGGCAUUUCUGCUCUUAGCAACCAGCAAGCAAUUAGUGCCUUAAAGGAGAUUCUUCUAAGCUUAAAUAAAUAUAAAUUCACAAGUAGAAUAUUCAUUUCGAAUCCCCAGUAUGAAGUUUCCUUCUUACUUCGUAAGUCAAUUCUUGCUGGGGAAUUCCCUUCCAUUACUUCCAUUCUCCUUGUACGCGGUAUUCAAAGCCAACCGCAUGGAUUUAUGGCCAAGGACAAAGAAGAUUAAACAAUGUGUCGUUUUCAUUCAAGGAUUUAGUGGUGUUGGAGGUAAGCGAAAAAUAGAAGAAACAUGGUGUCGGAGGAUUUAGUGGGAAGGGCAUUUCGGCUUUUAGCAACCAGCAUGAAAGUGCCUCGACUUUGAAUCCACGAGUUGAAUUCUUUAUUUUGAAUCCCCAAUACGAAGUUCCCUGCUUGCUUCGUAUAUGAAUGCAUGCUGUGUUGAAAUCACUGAUUCACUGAAGGAUAGACACAAAGAAUAUUCAAACAUGAGACUACAUGCAUUUAUGGUCAAGGAAAUCACUGAAUUAACAUCCUUCAUUCCUUUAAUACUUUUGGUUUUAUCUACGAGAGAGAGAGAAUCUCGAUGGUGAUCGAACAAAAAGCGUGGAUUUUUUUAUAAUUAUUUUUUAAAUAAAAAAAUUUAAAAAUAUUUUUAGAAUGUGUUUUUGAGCUGAGAAAUUUUUUUUUUCAUUUUACUAAUAAGAAAAUAUUUUUAUAAAACGUUUCCAAAUAGAUUCUAAAUGUCAAGUUUUAGAUUUUGGUAAGAAUUGUGGUUAGAUGAUGCUGGAUUGAUCAUCAUGAUAAUACCACUUAAAAAAAAUUAUCAAUAUCAUCACAUGAUUAUUUCUCAUCUUAUACUAUUUAUAUAAUUCAACAAGCCUAUAUUUUGACUUAAUGAAGCUUAUAAAUUUAUAAUAUCUUUCAAAAGGGAGAAACAAUCUGGUGCUUAUGCCCCGCAUGCUGAGAUAUACAACUCCAUUCAUGCUCUGCCUUGCUAAUUGAUCAUCAAUUGGUGGAAUAUUUCAUUAACUAAGAAAGUCUUGAAUAUUUCAAUUUUUUCUAAUCGAUCUCUAAUCAAUGGAUGUCAUCAUUAACUAAUAGUUGUCAUAUGUUUCCACAAACAUUAGAGAUAAAACCGAAAAAAAAUCAUUUUUCUUAAUUUUUAUGAUAAAGGGGUAUUUUUAGAAGUUGACAAAUGCGUUAAUAUGAUAAGAAUAAACCUUGGAAAAUUAUUCAAAUUUGUCAAACUAAUUGUUCAAGGCUCUAGAAGAAAAAAUGAGAACAUUCUAAUUCCAAAUACUUUGAAUGUGUUCAAUUUUCAAAGUAUUGAUAAAAUUUACAAUGACUUGAUUGUGUCAUAUUUGACUUGGUCAUGGUCAUACAAGAUUAAUAAAAUAGUUUUUCUGCAAUUCAACACUAACUUCAUUCCAAACAUCAACUCCAUUCCAAAUUAAUUGGUAUGUCUCAUUUAUUUUGACUAAUUCACACUUUCAUUCCAAACAUCAACGCCAUUCCAACUUAAUUGGUAUGUCUCAUUUAUUUUGACUAAUUCACACUAACUUCAUUCCAAACAUCAACACCAUUCCAACUUAAUUGGUAUGUCUCAUUUAUUUUGACUCAUUCAUGAUCAACUCUCAAAAUGAUUGUAUUAUGACUCCAAUAUAUAAAAAUAAAUAAAUAAAAUAAAAAUUAAAAUUAAAUAAGGAGAAUUGUUGUUCUCAUAAAUUCCUUACCUUAAUGAAAAAAAAAAAAAAAGGAAUUGAAAAUUUUAAAUCUCUAUUUUUAGAAGAAGAUCGAUUGACCUUUCAAAGUAUCCUGAGCUAUAAGUUCUUCAUUUUCCUCUCAUUCUCUAUUUAGAGAUUGCAUCUUCUCCCUUAUAAGUAUUGGCCACAAUGUUGACUUGACUAAGGUGAAUGGCUUCUUGCAAAUGUUUGUUGUGAAAGAGUACUUCUAGAAAAAAGUUGACAAAUACAUUGAUAAGAUGAUAAGAAACCUAUGCUUGAGAAUCACUAAACAAAAGUGGGUUAGAGAAUCUAAAAAGUUGAUUGAAACUAAUUAAUUAAACGAAAGCAUUGAAAUGGUGGUAUAUACAAACAAAGUUAUCUUUACUUUAGCAAUAAAUUAAGAAAUUUUAUGCUAAAUAAUAUGAAUUUAAGACUUUUGUUUUAAUGAAAAAAAAAUCAUUGAUCUUAAAAUUUUCAUUAAAUAUUGAAAUAAUGAUAAAUAAUAUGAUCUUCAAUAUAUAUAUAUAAAGUAUAACAAAAAUGCCAAAUACUUUUUUCAUAAAAUAAAAGAAUAUACAAGACAAAUUUCCUUUUUAACUGAACAAAUAAUGAUUUACUUCCUAUAAUUUGAUGACAUUCAUGAAUUUGUCCCUCUUGAGCUAAUCUCCAAAUGUGAAUAGAAUUCUUCUCAUUAGAAUAAUAACAAUUUUAAAGUCACCUUGAUUCCAAGACCGAUAAAUUCAUAAUUUUUCUUGCUUGAUUAGCAUCUCCAAAAAUCAUGCAUUCCAUCUUAACCAUUAUUGUAUCACUAAAAUAUAUGUAAAUUGUCAUUUGAAUGUGCUUACAAGUCUCUAAAAUAAAUUAAUUAAAAUUUAACGUAAAAAUAAAUUAAUAAGAGGAUCUAUCAAAUCCAUUAAUGCCCAAAAACUCUAAAACUUCUUUUUAAAAUACAUAAGAUUAGCUAAGGAUAAAUAUUGGAAACUAAUAGAAUAUUGGUGUUUAGUAAUUGGAGCCAAAAUAUGUGCCCCAAUGACACAUAAACACUAUUAUUUAUGUAACAUAAAAGGCUAGAAUCACCCAACUUAACUCAAUUUGAUGCUAAGAUCCUAGUUAUGGAUCUAACUUAUAUUUUGAACUUAAUUCCAGGUGUAAGAAAUGAAAAAAAUGCUAAGUGCAAAAGCCAUUUUUUCAACCAAGGUAGAGGGAAAGGUUAAAAAAAAUGCAGACUCAAGACUUAUGGAGCAUGAGAAGACCAUAAAAAUAAGAGAAUCGCAAGCAUGAAAGAUGAGCAACUAAUGUUACGGAGAGAAUUAGAGAGCAAGCAACCAUGAAAAAAGAAGGUUUGAAACAAAUGCAAUCGAGCUUAAAAUGGAAUUUGAAACUCAAACCUAGUAAUAACACAUACCCUGAAUUUAAAGGGAAUUUUGGAGCAACUUUCAUAAUCUUUUUGAGUGAUUCCACAUAUGAUUUUGAAUUUGAAGAAGUCAAGAAUCCAACUCUUCAAAUAACUCAUGAUUUGGAGUUGAAAUGAAGAAGAUGUGAGCAAUUAAAAAGAAUUGUGCAAAGAGAAACCAAAGAAGUAUCAAUUUCACAAGAUGUGCAAAAUGGAAUAGAGUUAAAUUUUAUAAGAGCUAAGAAACCUAUGGGAAUUUCUUUCGCAUUAACAUGCAAAUAUUGACACAACCAUGCCAAAACCACUAGAAUUGUGUUGAAGUGUUGCCAAACCAUUUCCAUUUCACAUGAUCAUGCAAAAUUGGUAAUCCUCAUGAGAAAUUAAAGAGUUUUAUUGUUACACGUCUCUUUCAGGGUUAGACUAUAUGUAUUUGCUAUGAUUAAAGGGGAGAAAAAUGGAGAGAGAAAGGAAUUGAACUUUUUUUUUUUCAAUUCUUUAAUAAAUCUUUAGUUUUUUUUUUCUCUCUUUUCCAUCUUUCUAUUUUAUUUUAUUGGCAACCAAACAUGGGUUGUGAGGAAAAAUCCUCCAUCAUGUUUGGAUAAUUUAAUAGAUCCAGAGAUGUUAAUAGGAAUGUGAAGAAUCCAAAUGAGUAGUAAGAAAUGGUAAUGAAUUAAUUGGGUUUCUUUAUGUUUUCAUAUUUGAAUUAGUAGGAUUAAAUCAUCUCUAUUUGUUUACCCUAGAUAAGGUAUAAAGGAUUCUUACCAAGGUAUUAGUGAUUGUUGGAAAGAUCUUAAUCACUAGUUAACUCAAUUUGAUCCUAUUGUUAGCAAAUCUAAAAGUCGAAUCUACAAUAUGGAUAUGGGCUCUUGAUUGAAUAGAAUUGAAAAAUAAAAUCAACCCUUAUAUUUAAUUGGUUUGAGAGAUUUGUGCUUAAAAAAAUAAAGAUCUAAAUUUCAGAUCCAAUAAUGAUCAUGGGAUUCAAUUUGGUCUCAAAUUGACUUUAAUCCUAUAACCUAGAUUUUACAAGACUCACUUUUUAGGGAUUCAAUGUUGGAUUGUUCAACUCUUAAGGACAUUUUCUUUUAUUUUAUCAAUUUCAUUAAAUACUUUAAGAAAAUUUUAUUUAUAUUUAUUUAAAUUAGGUUUUAUUACCUUUAGAAAAUAAUUCAUCAUUCCAACCUAAAAUUAAUUAAACACAUUAGUGUUGAUCCUAGAGGGUGGCAACUUGAAAUACUACAAAGUCAUGGUAACUCCAUCUCUGGUUUUUUUUUUUUUUUUUUUUGCCAAAGUUAUCACGUAUUUAGGCUUUUAGUAUUUUAAUUAGAAAAGAGAUUUGUGGUCAAUUAGCAAUAAUAUAAUAUGUGAUGGCAAGAAAUAUGUAUUUUAAAAAAUACACUCAUUACUAAUAUAAAGUAAAUAUUUGAUUUAAUUAAAUGUCAAUAAUGUUAAGAUAGAGUUCUUAAAAUCAUGACAUGAGGCAAUGAUAAAUGGAUUUUAUUAUUUAUAUUAUGAUUCUAGUUUCCCAAUUUCUCUAUCCUAUUCAUGCAUUACACUCACUAAGCUUUUAGGAUUGGUAUCUCUUGCAUUAUACAUAACUUCGGCGCAUUAUACAUAGCUCUUAUAAAAUUUAACUCUAUUCCAUUUCGCACAUCUUGUGAAAUUGAUACUUCUUUGGUUUCUCUUUGCACAAUUCUCUUCAAUUGCUCACAUCUUCUUCAUUUCAACUCCAAAUCAUGAGCUAUUUGAAGAGUUGGAUUCUUUACUUCUUCAAAUUCAAAAUCAUAUGUGGAAUCACUCAAAAAGAUUAUGAAAGUUGCUCCAAAAUUCCCUUUGAGAUAGUAUGUCCACUUGGGUGAUCCUAAAGACACGUGUUCAAGCAAAUUAUGCACACAGUAGUUAAUUCCUUAAUUCGAAACUUGACAUGAGUUCUUUGUGAGUUAGUGUACAUGUCAGUUGAUCACAAAAUAGGAGGAUUUAUAACUUAAUGACUUUAGAAUUGUUCUUCAUCAUAAAGAAAUCACUUGUGAACAUCUGAAUCUUUGGUAAGCACUCUAAUCUCACUCUUCUAGACCCUAAGAAUGUAUUGAAUGCAUAUUUUUCCACUAUAUGUAGGUUCUAGUCGCUUUAAGGAAGUUUCAUGCACCUAACAAGGUCUAGGGCUAGGGGACAAAGUUAUCUGAAGUUUCCUACACUAAAAUCAUUAAUGACUUUGAUCUACUGGUGAGACACUAAGGUUGUUAUAUAUUCCUAAUAGAUUGGUCACUAUUAAUGGAAAUUAGUGACAACAUGUAUAUUCAAGAGAGGCACCACAAUAUCUCAUUGGUUUGAGACAGUGUGUCCUCUUAGGUGAUCCUAAUGACAUGUGAUUAGGAAAUAUGUGGUUAUAAUAAUUCCUUAAUUAGAAUUUGACAUAUACUCUUAGAGAGUUAGAAUAUGUUAGUUGAUCACAUAAUAAAAGGAUAUGAGACUCAAAGAUUGCAGAGGUAAUUUUGAGAGGUUGAUAACAUAUACUUUGUUAAAUUACGGAUACUAGUUCCUAGAAAGUCUACAAACAAUGGAUAGUAGGUCAUAAACUUGAGUUCUUGUAGUGUAAUUGACUCUUUAUAGUAGGAUGUUGAGUUAACUUUAAAACUUAGAUUAUGAGGGAGCUAAUAUAUUUCUAUAUGUUUUAGUGAUCUCCGCUCAAACUUAUAUUUUUUUAUGGCACAUUUAUUGAGGGGUAUUUAGGUUAUUUAUUCAUAUGUGUGAAUAACAGUAUUUUAGUUAAUACUCAAGAUUGCACAAGAGCUUGUAAAUGGUCUCUCUAGACUAGGGUAAUAGAUUAAUUAGAGACUGAUAUGACCAAUUAAUUAAUUAAGACCCAAGUAGAUUGGAUUAGGGGUUUAUAACUAUAUAAAUCCACAAAGAAGCCUAUAUAAACCCUCUUAGAGGUUUAAGCCUUCAUUUUUGACAUUACAAUCUUCCUAUUCACUUCAAAGAGAAGAAAUGCUUAGUCACCACCCCUCUAUGAUACUUCCACUACCUUCAGUGAUAAGAGUAAAGGAAAGAGAGUUAUCAGGUGGAAGAUUCCUAGGCUUGUGAGAUCCAAGUUAUUCUUUAUCGACAAGAAACAAUUGAGGAACAUUCAAGUAUAAAGUAAAACACUUUAAACCUCUAGAUCUACAUUUUUUUUUUUUUUAUGUUUGUAUUCUUCUACUUGUUAGAUCUGGAGAGCUUUAAGAAGAUUUUUCAUGAUUUUUCGAUCCAAGGCUAAGAAUGGAGUAAUCUAUGGAUUCCCACAAAUAAUUUAUACAAAUUACAUUCUAAUGGUUCUAUCUUAUAUUAAAAUAAAGGUCAUUAGUUUUUGUGAAAUUAAGGCUAGUCUUAUUAGGAAAAUCAACCAAGAGGGGGGUGAAUUAGGUUUUUGAAAAACUUUUCUAAUCACUACAAAUUUAAUAAUAAUAAUAAGGCAUAAAUAUAAAAAAAUUGAGUUAGAGAGAGCAAAUGCAAAUUUUAUAGUGGUUCGACACCCCUUGCCUACAUCCACUCUUCUCAAGCUCCAAUCGAUUGAGGGUUCCACUAUCCUUGAAACUUCAACUAAGCUUCCAAUGUCUUUACACUUGGAUUUUGGCUCUAAGGGGCACUUACACAAUCCCUUUAAGAAUUUACCAACUUGAAGCUGUCAAUGCUCACAAAACUCACAUAAACAACAAGGAAGUAAACUCUCAACCUAGCUCAAUAAAUGCUCAAAUAAAAAAGAAGGUUAGGAUGAAUGACAAAGGGUGCACUAAAGAGUAUGCAAGUGAAGAAUCAAUGCACCAAAGAAAGAAAAUAAGAGCUUUAAAUGAAAAACAAGUAAUUAGACAAUUGAUUGCAUGUGUUCCCUUACUCAUAAAUGAAGUAAAGUUUUCUAUUUAUAGGUUUCUAGUCUUGAGAACCAAAAAUAACAUAAAAAUGCCUCAUCCGGUCGAGCUCCGAUUCAAUCGAUUGACUAGUCGUUGGGCAUUAAAUGCAUAGUUAGUGACCGUUAGGCCUCAACCGAACCUCAAUUGGGAACACCUAGCCCUCAACCAGGAAAGGUCUCACCCUCAACCAAGAAUGAAACCUUUCUAGAAGAGAAAGAAAAAAAAAUUGCAUCUCUCGAUCGGAAUUAGAUGGAAUAUAGAAAAUCUUAUGUCCUAAGCCUCUAAAUUUGUUCAUUAUGUAUUUCUUUUUAUAUUAAUUUUGUUCUUAUUAAUUAUUUAUAUAUAUUAUUAUUUUGUGCUUAAAGUGUCUAUAAAUAAUUAAAAUCAAUAACUUUGAAAAGAUGAAAGAGUAAAAAUUUGAAAUUAAAAAAUCUUUCAUAUACAUAUAUUUAAAAAAAAAAAAAGUCAAAGGUAUUAUGGAGAAAGGAAAAGAUAAAAAAUAAAUAAAAAAUAAAAAAUCGUGAGGCAUGAUUGGUUACUACAAUUCAUAGUUUUCUUUUUUAUAUAUAUAAAAAAAAUUAAACAAAAAUAGACAACCAUGAUGAGCUUUGCAUCUUUGAUUUGUCGUGUCAAAGUUAAAAAAUAAAAUAAAAAAUGAGGUAGUUAAUUGAAAGUAAAGGUGGUUUAGAAAGUAGUUUUGGAAUUUUGAUAAUAUCAUGCAUGUUUGUAGGAUUAUUUUCUCCAAAAUGUAUGUGUUUUGAAAGUCAAAAGUCAAAAUUUUCAACUUUUUUUAGGUGUUGCAUGAUUAUAUGAUUCUCAUCCAUGGUUUCAACAUACUUCUUGGAAUUGGAGCUUUCUAGGAAUUUUGAUUUAGGGUUUCUUAAUUAAUAAGGGUAAAUUUCUAGGGAAUUAGAGCUUUCUAAAAGGUCACCAAUUUUAUGAAUUAGCAAAGACAACUUAGAAGAGGAUAAUUUUACUUCUUGAAUGACAUUUUUUUUCCUAUUGCUCCUUAUAAAUAUAAGAAAAACAAAAUAAAACAUGAUCCAAUGGUUUACUUAUAUAAUUUGUGAAAAAAGAAUGAGAGAUACUUAAAUCAAGAAAACCACAACAAAACCCUAAACUUUAACCGUUUGAUUCCCUUAUCGUCGAUAUUUUCUCCAUAAACAACUACAUGGAAAAGCUUAACUCUUUUUCACAAGGCACACUAAUCUCUUUCUCUCUAUAGAUCUACUUCUUUUCUUCUUCUUUUUUCAUGAGAAGUCCCUUUGUAGUGGUUUUGAUUUCUAGGGUAUCAUUUCGAGUAUUUAAGAAAUUCAAAGAUUUCAAUUUUUAGGUUUUCAUUUUAGAUCCUUCUAUUUUUUCACACCCAAAGAAAACAGGGAACUCUCCAAAAAAACAUUGGUAUUCAAUCUUACACCUCUUUUUUGAGGGCAUGACAAAUGGGAUCUAAAUAACAUAUUGGGCUAUUGGGUUUUGGUUUGUUUUGGAAGUCCUUUUUAAAUUGAAUUUGUUUUAUAUUUCCAUCACCUUCUCCCUUUGUCUCCACCAUUUUUAUUACCACACUCUCUUCUAUUACUAUGAUUUUUAUUUUUCAAUGUUGCUUGUUAGGUUUUAAUUCUAGGUUUUUGUUUUAUAUUUCAAAGGCUUAUAGCUAGCUCCAAGUGUACAAAUAAUAACAUCAUUUUGAUUCUCUUAUUAUUAUUAUUUUUUAUUCAACAUGGAUUAGGACAAAAUCCUUAAAAGCAUAACAUGAUGUAAAAAUAAAUGAUUUUUUAUUAUUAUUUAUAAUAUGUUUCCAUUUUCCCAUUUAUAUAUCUAUCAUUUUUUCAUACUUCAUAUUUUAUGAGUAUUGAAGCCUAGCAUCACUUACAUUAUAAAUAAUUUGGAUGUAUUACAAAUUGUAUAGAAGAUCGAAGUCAUAGGUUUCUUGUAAGUUAAUUAUUCAUUAACAGUUGAUUAAGCAAUGUAUUUAAGGUUAUAGUGUACUACCUUCUAAUUGGAUGAAUGACUUGCUUUAGUUUUUAGGAUAAGGUUUUCAUGGUGAAUGCAUUAGUAUAAAUGGUUAUACAAUAGACAAAAUCUAUAAUGAGUCAUAAUAUUGAUUAUUAAGUAGUCAUGAUUUCACCAAAUUACUAUAUGGUAUAUAUUCUUAACUUUAAGAGAAUAUUAAGGUAGUGUUGGGAUCUUUAAUAACUUUGACCUAUUUGUGAAACCUUAAAGUAAACAUAUAUUCCUUAUAUCAAGGAUCUUAUAACAUUUAUUAAAAAAAACCUAAUUAUUUAUUCUAAGUAAAAUAGUAGUACAUAAACUCAACAGCUAGUCUCUAUUGAGUGUAUAUGGUUGCAGUAGGGGGAGAAGUCUCAAGAGACUCCGGCACAUCAGAAGGGCUCACCCUUGAGUUCAUAGUCGCAGUAGGUGGAGAGGCCUCAAGAGGCUCCGGGCAUCAGAAGGGCUCACUGUUGACCACCUUGCAGAGAUCCAUUCAUCUCCAGUGGAACGAGAAGACAAAUUUGACAGUCUUUCAUUAGGAAUCUCAGUUUGUCCAUUAUGAAAGAAAUGUACUAAUUGAACAGUCUUCAUCCAGACACUUUCAUCACUUCUGGAUGGCUGUUUACGAUUAAAAUCGAUGAGCAGGCGAAGGAAGAACAGUACAAUGUAGAGGGUGGAAGUGGCGCCACAUAAAAGGUAGAGAGCCCAGAAGUUCCCGAGGCUCAGUUCAUCAUUUUCGGUGGCUGAACACUCGGCAGAACAAGGAAACCACUUUUCUUCUAAUGCUUUUAGAAUCCUCUUCUCAGAUAUGGUUAGGAUGGCUUCAGAAACAUCAGCAGCUAAUGGAGAGCCUUUCUGAAAGGCCUGCAUGGAGAUCAACAAGGAUGACAUGACCAAAGCUAAUUUCAUUGUGACAAUGCUAAAAGAAUUCCAUAUGCUAUCCUACUCCACUGAGCAAUGGUUCAACUAAUUCAAUUCCUACCACCAGUCAAGGGAUGGGACAAUUUUCUUUGGGGGAAAAGGGCAUCAACAAAUCAGUUUGGGCCACUUCAUACAUGUGUUAAGAGAAGUUGCAGAAAAUUUUAGAGAAUGCAAAUGGGGAAGAGUUCCAGUUACUACUCACAAAGACUAAUCCUCCAAAUCUGUUGAGGGGUUGGCCGGCAGUGUAAUUCUUGCAGAACUGGCUGGUGAAAACUUUUGCAUAAGGAAGUUGAAGAAAGGCAGCUGACAUGUUCCCACUCUGGAAUUCGCCAGGAUAUUGGUAUUGGUUGCUAAUAUUCUUGAUAUCAGCUCCUUCGAAUUUAAACACGUUCUCUAAGUAUUCCCUCGUAAAUGCAGCACCAUCACAACCAACCACAGACCUAGUAGCUUUUAGCCAUUCGAUAUCCAUCACAUUGGGUUCAAGUCGUCGGACAGUGAGCAUUGAAGAGAGACUAGCAGUGUAGCUCGAGGUUAAAACGAAGACUACAAACAGCCACACCACUAUCACUACUCGAGUAAUAUUGCUACGAAUUGUCUCCCCUGGAAAAUGAAACAAUGGCUAGCUUUCUGAGUUAUUUAAUUAUUGAGCAACCAAAAUCUCUUCCAUUUUUAAUAUUACUACUUACUAUGAGCAAAGAAAAGAGAAGAGAAGGUGAACCAAAGAGCAGUCCCGAGCUGACUCUUCCAUGGGCCUCUGAAUGCUGGAUUAUUGGAUUGGUACGAUCCAGUACCCAAACUAUGAACAUGGUGUAGAUCAAGAGGGCACCUGUGACUACCCACAUUUCCAUGGUGAAAGGCUUCAGGAACAUCCAUGCCUUGUGAGGUUCUUUAGGCCUUGCUUGUAUUAUCACCAAUCCCGACUCGGCAUAUGGCAGUGUGAAUUCCACUUUUUUUGAACGGGUGGCAAGUAUAGUCACAUCGCCAACCACAGCAUCAAAGGUCUUCCAUGUAUUUGAUAGGCAUAAAAUCUCUCAGAGACAAAUGAUUGAAACAAAUAUGAAGUAUGAUUCAGGAAUUCUGAGCGUUAAUCUUCUGUACUAUGUUCACUGCUGUCUCAUGGGGAUAAAGUCAAAACUUAAUAUACCAGAAAAGUCUACCGGGCAGGAUUUCUUUGGGAGGCAUAAAAAUUGAGAAGUUUCGAGGGUUUGAAAAACCUAAUUAUGGAAAUAUAUAUUUCAUAUAAAAUCUUUCAUAAACUCCGGCGCUCUUGUAGAAAAGCAGGCAAGUGUUAACUAGAGAGGUUCAGUUUGACUUUGAUUAUCAUUUAUCAAGCGAUUGUUUCAAUUGUUUUCCUUUAAACAAACGACAUGUUAAUUUGGUCAGCAAGCAAGACAUGCUUUUUGAGAAAUUAGAAAAGGGGGAAGGUUUACUGAUGAAAUCACAACACAAACACCUGCUGAAGUUACAAAUAAAUCUUGGUCGCUAAUGUGAAGUUGAGAUUUAAUUCUGGUGUGGGGAAUAUCAUGAUUAUUGAGAAAGAUUUAAAGAGCUAAGGCUAGAGAUAGGAGUAAAUACCUUGUUAUAAACACAAUAUUCAACCAGCUCGUCAUAUGUGCCAAAAAAUGGAUGGAACUUGUAGGGUAGAGAGUAAUUUUGCUCCAGAAUUUUUACCACCUCUCGGAAAAUAUCAAUACAGAAACCAGUAUAUUUUUUUUCAGGCUCGAUUUGAGCUUCGCCCACCUCCACAAAAUUUUUAAAAGUGCCGUUAGCUGGAAUUCCAAUCUUCAAUGGUUUUGGAUCAGUGGGCAUUUCCCAUCCCUUGGGGACACGUUUUAGGUACCCUGGCCAAAUCACUGGACCCUCCAAAAUCCUUGUGGUGUUUCUACCGCUAUUUUUGUCUCCACCUUCUCUGCUGAAAGGGUUGUCCAAGUCCUGUGUCCAAAAGUCAAGAUCCUUGUAGCCUUUUCCAACAAAGUUUAUAAUCCUGAAUGGCAACGAAUUUGAAUUUGAAAAAUUAAUUGUUCCACUUAAACCACUAAAGUUGCUUGAUAAUAUAUUUUUUAACAACAUUUUUGGAGUAUCAGUAUCACCAACUAAUCUCUCCAGGGCCCAUGUGAUGACAGCAAUGCCAUCAUAUGCUCGUAGUGCAUGAAUUCCUGGCUGGCCGUUGUCUUCCUUUGGAUAUUCAGAUUUAAAAUUUUUCUGAAACUGGGCAGAGAAUUCUUGGAAGGGCCUAUUGGAUUUGGAAUAGCAGGACUUGAUUCCUAGAGCCCCUUCCAUAUAGGGGAUAACAGAGGUGUCCAUGGAAUCCAGGAAGCUUGAAAUGCUAUCUGUAACUAUCCAGGCUGAGUCUUUCCCCAUAAAAUCCAUCCGCCUUGCUUCUUGGAACAAAUGGAUAGCCAUCGGUAAUGAUGAUUGAAGAACAAUGAAAACCCUGGAUUGUGUGCUCAGAAGCUUCAAGAGCUCUUGAUGGACAGCUCCUCUUGGAUCAGAUAGAGAUGAUAUGGGAGGAAGAGACAAAUGGUACUCGAUCUCCGAUCCAACUCCUUGAAGAGCUUCAGAUAAAAUAGUUAACAACUCAGCGUUGCCACCGUACGCAUCAUCUUCAUAGAUUGUGAUGACACUUCGCCAGUGAUAGGAGUAAACGAUAGCUGAAAUGCACCUUAUUUGUUCAGAAACAUUGGUGCCCAUUUGUACCAGGGUGGGCCUUCCAAGCUGCCUCGACGGCCGGACACUCGCAGAUGCAGCCAAUGAAAGAACUGGUACUUGAGCUUGGUUUCCGAUUUCAGCAGCUAAAGCUGCUUGCUGCCAUGUAUCCAUGCCCACAAUCACUUGCACUUUCUUCUCUUUAAUCAGUUCUUCAGCUGCAAUUAUAUCUCACUUAUUUCAUUCAAAAUUCAAUACAUAAUAAUGUUUUCAAUGCAUGGAAGCAGUAAAAUCCUAUUUCCAUCUCUUUCAUUUGUUUUUCCCUUAAAAGGAAAACAAUGAUAAGUACUGAUUCGUCCCUAGCAGUGGCAGUGGCAAUGGCACCAUUUGAUUCGGGGUUCGAUCCCCGGCAACGGCGCCAUUUGAUUCGUGCCCAAUUGGUGUCUCAGCUGAUUCGUGUCCAGCUGGUGCUCCUUGAUUGAGGGAGUAAUCAACAAAAUUUAUAACCUAUUACACUAUAUACUAGGGUAGCAAAGACAAAGCUACUAUAGUAUAGUGGCUCUAGGAUCGUUCACUGGGAUGGGUUUUCACUUUGCAAAUGAUAUUAAUUCAAAGCUGAAUUGGUGUCUUUUCAUUUCAAGGUUAGCUUUAAAAGAAAACAUAAAGAUGUUUGAAUGAAAAAGGUUUGGUUUUAAACUAAUCAAAAAUAGUAAUUGAUUUUACUUACAAAGAAAAGAUGUUUCUUGGAGUUCAGAUCACUAGGCUCGUUCCUCAUACAAAAUGGGAGUUCCGGUCACUUGUUUCUUUUCCUCGCAUUAGAGAAUUAACAUAUAGUUCCUUCUCCAACCGGUGUUGUACAGAUGCUUCCCAUCAAUGGGUUCAAACACUAAAUCCCUCUCACUGAUGCAACUUGCAAUGGUUCAUGCCUCUCACGAGCACUUACCAUUCAAGAUGAUCUUUAACCUUGGACUUCCCUUCAAAAGCUCGCAAGAGAUAACUAAUGGAUGUCUCCUUGGAGUCCAAAAGCUUACCAAGUGUUGGCUAUUCUAGAAAAUCCUACCUUCAAGUCACCUCCCAAAGGCUCGCAAGGGGUAAACUAGUGCAUCUCCAUGGACGGAGAUCACUUGCCUUACCAAGUGUUGGCCCAGGUGAUUUAAAGGCAUUUUAAGUUAACUAAAAAGAUAAAAACCAUUAACGGGUUACACUUUCUCUUCAUUAAAAACUAAAACAACAAAACUUCCAAAUUAUGCAUGUGGAAACUUACCCGGCUUUCCUCACUCCAAGAGACAAAAGGCUUAGCCUCUCAUCCUCUGAGGAAAAAUCCUCAGAGUUUGGUUGGCUAGAAAAUGAAAAUGAAAUGAAAAAUGAAAGAGAAGGAAAAACAGAGCAAGGCUCUGUAUAUUCUAUAUAUGAUCAAUAUUACGGAUUACAUAUAUGGUCCUCCUCCUUUACAGUGGAUGCAAGGGAAUAUAUAUAGAGGAGUUUUUCCAACCUUCCUAGCUAAGAAAUCUUGUGGUUGGUGGCUUACAAGGAGAAGAAUGGAAAUUUAUACACAAAAAUCUGAAGAAAAAUAUCUAAAAGAGUCGGUGCAAAAAUAUCGGGAAGCUCCAGGAACAUUUCGCAGGUGAAAAAUGGUGUCUGCGAGAUUUCGCAGACACUCAAGAGGGCUGCGAAAUAUUUUCGCAACAACAAGUUAAACUCGCAGGGCUGCGAAAUUGGCUUCCACCUUGAGGUUCUCAGAGUUCCAGCUUGCGGCAUGUAUCGGGUAGCUUCAGGAGGAAUUCCAUAGCACUGUACAAAAAGGCUGCGAAAUUCUCGCAACAAAAGGCUGAUUUCGCAACACUUUGGAGUGAUCUGCUUGCAAUGGCUGUAACUCCUUCGUUUCAACUCCGAAUCGCGUACCGUUUGAAGCAUUGGAUUCUUGACUUCCUGAUCUUUGAAAUGGUAUAUAGAAUGUAGAAAAUGGACUUCGGGAAGUGCUCCAAAAGUGCGCAUGAAGACUGCAGCUGCUUGUCCUCUGUUUUCUUCACUCUGUUUUUCCUUUCUCCUUGCUUCUCUCCUUGCAUACUUUGAACGACUUUGGCAAAGGGAUAUGGAGCUCCAAAGCUUGGUUUCUUCAUGAAUUUGAGCUUCCAAAAGCUUUGCCAUGAAUUCCAAAUAGCUCAUCCAUCAUUUGGCAUGCUUGAAUUGAUUCAUAAGCUGAUAAAAACAUGUAAACUUGCCACAAAAUAGUUAAAACCAAUUACUAAGGACCUUAAUGAAUUAAUUGGGUUAAAUGAAUAUGAUUACUACUCAAAGGUGCUUAAAACCAUUAUAAUUAGGUCUACAAAAUAGCACUUUUUGGUAGUAAUCAAGUACUACUUAAAACAAGUUUUUCAAGUUAUUUAAAAAUAAAUAAAGGAAAAUUUAAGAGUGAAAAAAAGAAAAAAAAAUGAAAAGCAUUGCAAUUUAAUAUAUAGGUGCAGUCGCAACAACUUUAGAAGAGAAGACCAACAGACCAACCUAUUAAAGCCGCCCGGUUGAGUUCGCCGGUGAAGUCCCGGGAGAUAAUAGAGUGCUUAUGAUUCUUGGAAUUAUUAUUGAACUUGUCCACGGCUAUCUUCAUGGCCGUCAUUUCCUCUUUACCUUUACGAGAAUUAGAGUCAAUGAUUGCCCCAAUGAUGGUGGAGGUGAUAUCUGCCGCUGUGGCUGUGAUGUAUCCAUGAUGGGAGACAAUUAAAAGGAUGGAGAUAAGUGAAAAACAGAAGAAACAUGGUGUUUGGGUAUUUAGUGGGAAGGGCAUUUCGGCUCUUAGCAAGUAAUAAGCAAGUGCCUUGGAAGGAGAUUGUUCCUAGCUUAUAUAACUGUGAAUCCAGCGGGCUUAAGCACAAGUAGUAGAAUCUUUCAUAGUGAAUUCCCAUGAAGUUUCCUGCUUGCUUCCUAAGUCAAUGCUUGCUGUGCUAAAAUCAAUGAAGGAUGGACACAAUGAAACUCCCUCCCCAUUACUUAAUUUCAUACGUUCUUUUCAACCGUAAGUACAUGUCUCUGUGAAAUAAUUCUCUCCAUGGUACUGUUCCUGUUUUGUGAAGUUGUAGGUCUUGGAAGUUGGAAGUCAUUGUCAACCACCUGUUGUUAGUUUAACAAAUAAAGAAUAUAAUAUGUAUAUUAAAUCCAAAUCUUAUGAGUUUUAAUUAGUUCAUUAGUUUGGUGUAGAGGGAGUCAUUCAAACCACCUCUUGGCAAUUUACAUAUUCAUUUCCCUAUUUAUCUAUGUGUAAGUUCAAAAAGGGUUAUUUGCAUUUGCAGGAGUAUCUCUUCACGUAUGAGUGUGGGGCUGCAAAUGAGAGAAGAUGUUAAAAAAAAUGAAUUUUAUAAGUUUAAGCUUUUAGGAAGAUUAGCAAUUCAAUAAACAGAGUUUUGAAAUUUAUUACAUUUUAAUGGGAUAAAAUUCAAUAAAAUUAAGAGUGUGUUUGACAGUGAUUUUAGGAAGUACUUUUAUCAUUUCUAAUACUUGAAAAUUUUUAUUUUUUAAGUAUUAAAAAGAUUAUAUACACUUCCUAAAAUCACUACCAUAUGAGAAAAUACUUCCAAUAUUUGUAACACUUCAAAAUUUUUAUCAUUCAAGUAUUAGAAUGAUUAAAAUUGUUUUUUAAAAUCACUACCAAACGUAUUUUUAGUUUAUAAACAUAUCCAAGAAACUAAGAUGAAAUAGUUCAAGGAUACAAAAUAGAAAAUUAUGAUAUUUUUAUCUUAAAAAUUCAGUCAAUUACAUAACAGUAGAAAAUAAACUCGUAACAAAUCUUAUAUAAAUGGGAGUGGUCUAUAUUAACUCAUAUAUUUGAUAUAAAACAAAUAAGAGGUGUAUUAUAGCCCUCUUAUAGAGGAAUUUUUUCAAGAAAAAAUCCAUUUCUAUUUUUUUACUAUUUCUUUUAUGUUUAUGGUCUUUUUAAUUAUGGGUUAAUUUUUCCAAGUUCGUUAUGCUUCACCACUCCGAAGUUUCUACAUGAAUACGACAUAGAAAAAAUUCUACAUAGCAUGGAUAUAAAAGUGUUUGUGUCAAAGUCAUAUAAGGUUAAAAAAUAGAUUAAAAAUUUGAGUUAAAACAUGUUGAUAUGUUGCACAUCAUACAUUUUAGAUAUAAAAAUAAAUUAAUUUAUAUAACUUGCGCUCCAAGCCUGAGUUAAAGUUUGAUAUAUAAUAAGACUUGUACAUCCACAUAUUUUAGAUAUAAAAAAUGAAUUGAUUCAUAUAACUUGCACUCCAUGCCCAAGUUAUAAUUUGAUAUACAACGAGAUUUAAAUAUCACUUCUAUUGAGUCACACCCGCUUAACUCGUAUAAAUUGAGAUAACACUGAUACAUGCAAAUCAUAUAUGUAAGAGUUCACAAAACCAAUAAUAACAACAAAUUAGUUUAUUUUCAAAUAUUUUUCAAAAUCAUUUUUAUUUGUAGUAUUUUAGUUUCAAUUAUUUUUCAUAUUUAUAUAACUAUUUUUUAAAAUAAUUUUAGAAAACAAAUACAAAUAAUUAAAAUAUAUUCUUAAAUAAUAUUCUGAUUUUAGAAUAAAUUCUUAAUGAACUAUCAAUCAUAUUUUGGAAUCUAAAAAAUAAGUGCCAUGCAUCACAGUACUACUUAAAAAAUCUGUGGUUCACGUCAUAUGAUUGUUUGUCAUGAUUACCAUUUAUAUAAUCCAACAAGAAGUCCAUUGAAAGGGAAGGAAUCUUAUAGUAUCCUUAUAAAAUAUUUGAGCUCCAAAAUGGGGAAACAAUCCAGUGCUUAUGCCUCACAUGCUAGUCGGCCGUGGUGAUUGGUCAUCGAUUAUUUUUUAACUAAACAAUUACACUAAAUAUUGAUAUGAAUUUAAAACAUUAGAUUAAAAAAUUACACUGAAUGAUAUGAAUUUAAAACUUUUGUUUAUCAUACAUUUUAUUGUGAUAUUAUAUUUAUCCUUAUUUAUUUAAAUAAUUACAAAAAUACCAUAUAUCAUAUACAUUCUAGGAUGGACCGUAAAUAAUGGUGAAAUAUAUGACAAAUUACAAGUUGUUAACACAUCAAAAAUUAUCCUCUUCAACAUGCAACUCUUCAUACUGUAACACGUGCAUGGCUUUGGAAGUGCUUCUCAACUUAACACAUCGAAUUACUCUUUAUUUAAGAAACUUUUUUUUUUUUUUCUACUUUUCUCUCUUGUAGAAUUUCUCUGAAUACAGUUGGUGAUUCUUUGUUCUACCUAGGUUCUCUCCAAAACUUUUCUUUUAACUUUUUUUUCUUUUCAUUUUAUUUCUGCAUUUCAUUUGGAUUUUAUUCUCAGAAUAAAAUAGAUAAAAAGUAGAUAUAAUAAACAAUUAAAGAGUAAUAACAAGAAGAUUUAAUCCUAAAAUUAAUAUUAUUUUACCCUUUAUAAGAAAUAAGAAGGGAAUAGCAGACACUCAUGUUUAAUUUAGAAAAACCGGAGCUUAUCUCUGAUGGUGAGAUGCUCCCCAUCAGAGAAGCCGCGAUUGGACAGCUCUGGAUCUAUGAGUCCCCACCAUCUUAAAAACCCCACCAACAAAAACAAUCAUGAAGAUUCACUCUUUCCCUCAACACUUCAAGCACUUGUUGCAGUGAAUAGAGACAAUAUUUUCCACUCUAUCUCUAAUCCUUGGACUUCUCCCUAACUUAGCCAUUACCAUUAGUACUAAACUUAAAACCUAUUUUAAAAUCUGAAUUCCAAACAUAGUAUAAAAUGAAGUCUCCCUGUAUAUGCCGAUGAAAAAGAGGGAAAGAAAAGAUAGAGGAAAGAGGUGUGUUUGGUUUGGUUUUGUUUUGGAGUGAGGCUUUAAGAGUUGUGAAAAUGGUUGACGGUGUGAUUGAGACGUGGGAAAUGGAAAACUCUAGCAAAAAGGAUCAAAACUAGGAAUGGAAUGGUAGUUAUGGAAUAAAAUAAUCAGUUUAUGAAAAUGGAAUAAUUAUCCAUUUUACAUUAUGUGGAUAGUCGAUAUACACUAUAUAAUCAAAUAUACAAGUAUAGAAAGUACCUCCUAUUCAUGAAGUUGUAAUAAAUUUAUGAGGAAAGCGGUUAUUGUUGAGAAAUCUAAAACUGAAAAGGAAAUUAAAAUUCUUAUAUGAAUUUGUAAUAGAUAUAUGAGGUAAAGGGUUGUUGUUGGGAAUUCUAAAAUUGGAAAGAAAUUUUAGAAUUCUUAUAGAAAUGGAAUCAUAGUUUAAAUAGAAAAACCGUCUAAAAAUAUUAUAUAAUAUUUUUAAUUAUUUAAUCAAACUUAUGAAAAAAUAAUUUAUUAAAAAAACUUAAUUACUUAAUUAAUUAAUUAAUUAAAUUUUUUCUUUUAAAACUUGAUUUUUUUUUAUGAUAGUUAAAUCAAAGAAACAUUCUAGACUGCACAUAUAAAGAAAUAGCUUAACUUGGGGUUUUAUUUUUUAAACUGUUAAUUAAAUAAUAAUAAUAAUAAUAAUAAAUGUAGUUUAUCAUAAUAUUUUUAUUUUUUAUUAUUUAAUAAUAGAUAAGUAAAGAAAACUUACCUUAAUGUUGAAUAGAUAAAGGAGAUAAAUAGGUAACCUAUAUAAAUAAAUUAGUUAAAUGAAAAUAAUUUCUUUAACCAAUCAACUAUUGACCUAAGUAGAAUAAGUUUUUCUUUGAUAGUCAUUCUUCAUUCCAACUUGGAAUUGUUAUUAAUCUUCAAAUUCAAUACUUGUUAUUUGAAUUGAAAUUUUAUUUUAUUUUUUAAAUUAAGACUUAUGUGGUGUUUGUUUUUUUACUUAAUUCUAAAUAGAACUUUAAUGCUUAAUAGUGUUAAAUAUUAGGUUGUUUGUUUUUAUAGUAUUUUAUUUCUCGUAAGUAUUAAAAAAUAUAAAAAAAAACAAUAUGUUAUUUUUUCUAUUUAGAAAAAGUUACAUAUUUUGGUUUUUUUCUAUUUAGUAAAAAAUUUAUAAUAAGUCAUGAAAAUUUUCAAACACCAUUAGUUAUUUUCUAAUUACAGUAGGUAUCACAAAAGUGGGGUGUUUUUUUCUUUGGUAUUUAUAAAUGCUCACACUUCUAUACCUAGCUUUAAUACUUUUUUUUAUAGAAGAUUACGAAAGUAUAAUUUCUGUUUAUUUUGGUUUGAUAAAGAGUUAGCAAUUUAUUAUUAUUUUAAUUUUCUAAAAGUUUAAAAAAUAUAAUGGCUUUGACCUACAUACGAAACCUUAACGAUAGGAUAUUCCUUAUGCAAAUGAUCUUACAACAUUUAUUUAAAAAAAAAAAAAAAACUAAUUAUGCAUUCAAUCUGAGUAAACUAGUAGAACAUAAGCUCAACAGCUUGUUUCUAUCAAGUCUACAUGGUUGCAGUUGGGGGAGGGGUCUCAGGAGGCUCAUGCUCAUCAGAAGGGCUCACCCUUGAGUUCAUAGUUGCAGUUGGUGGAGAGGCCUCAGGGGACUCCGGGGCCUCAGGAGGCUCUGGGGCUUCAGAAGGACUCACUGUUGACCACCUUGGGGUGCUCCAUUCAUCUCCAGUGAGACGGGGAGACAAAUUUGACGGUCUUUCAUUAGGAAUCUCAGUUUGUCCACUAUGAAAGAAAUGUACUAAUUGAACGGUCUUCAUCCAGACACUUUCAUCAUUUGGGUUUGCAUUACUUCUGGAUGCCUGGUGGCGUUUAAAAUCGAUGAGCAGGCGAAGGAAGAACAGUAGAAAGCAGAGGGUGGAAGUGGCGCCACAUAAAAGGUAGAGAGCCCAGAAGCUCCGGAGGCUCAGUUCAUCAGUUUCGGUGGUGGAACACUCGGCAGAACGAGGAAACCACUCAUCUUCUAAUGCUUUUAGAAUCCCCUCCUCAGAUAUGGUUAGGAUGGCUUCAGAGACAUCAGCAGCUAGUGGAGAGCCUUUCUGAAAGGCCUGCAGGGAGAUUAACAAGGAUGAAAUGACCAAAGGUGAUUUCAUUGUAAGAAUGCUAAGCAAAUUCCAUAUACCGUAUGCUAUCCUAUCCCACUGAGCAAAGGUUCAACUAAUCUCCACCCCGAGACAAGGGAUGGGCCAAUUUUCUUUGGGGAAAAAGGGCAUAGACAAGGGAAAUCAAUUUGGGCCACUCCAUACAUUUGGUAGCCUAAACGUUCCUCCCUCGAGCAAUUUUCCUAAGAAAAAUGUAGUGAAUGCACAUGGGGAAGAGUUCGAGUUACUACUCACAAAGCCUAAUCCUCCGAAUCUGUUGAGGGUUUCGGAGGCGGUGUAAUUCUUGCAGAACUGAUUGAUGAAAACUUUUGCAUAAGGAAGUUCAAGAAAGGCAGCUGAGAUGUUCCCACUCUGGAAUUCGCCAGGAUAUUGGUAUUGGUUGCUAAUAUUCUUGAUAUCAGGCCCUUCGAAUUUAAUCACAUUCUCCAAGUAUUUCCUCACAAAUGAAUCACCAUCACAACCAACCACAGAUUUGGUAGCUUUUAGCCAUUCGACAUCCAUCACAUCGGGUACAAUCCGUUGGACAGUGAGCAUUGAAGAAAGACUAGCAGUGUAGCUGGAGGUUAAGACGAAGACAACAAAUAGCCACACCACUAUCACUACUCGAGUAAUAUUGCUACG